AGUCGAACGGUGAAGCAGAGCUUGCUCUGUGGAUCAGUGGCGAACGGGUGAGUAACACGUGAGCAAUCUGCCCCUGACUCUGGGAUAAGCGCUGGAAACGGCGUCUAAUACCGGAUACGAGCUGCGACCGCAUGGUCAGUAGCUGGAAAGAAUUUCGGUCAGGGAUGAGCUCGCGGCCUAUCAGCUUGUUGGUGAGGUAAUGGCUCACCAAGGCGUCGACGGGUAGCCGGCCUGAGAGGGUGACCGGCCACACUGGGACUGAGACACGGCCCAGACUCCUACGGGAGGCAGCAGUGGGGAAUAUUGCACAAUGGGCGCAAGCCUGAUGCAGCAACGCCGCGUGAGGGAUGACGGCCUUCGGGUUGUAAACCUCUUUUAGCAGGGAAGAAGCGAAAGUGACGGUACCUGCAGAAAAAGCGCCGGCUAACUACGUGCCAGCAGCCGCGGUAAUACGUAGGGCGCAAGCGUUAUCCGGAAUUAUUGGGCGUAAAGAGCUCGUAGGCGGUCUGUCGCGUCUGCUGUGAAAACCCGAGGCUCAACCUCGGGCCUGCAGUGGGUACGGGCAGACUAGAGUGCGGUAGGGGAGAUUGGAAUUCCUGGUGUAGCGGUGGAAUGCGCAGAUAUCAGGA
rnacentral:rRNA from 1 species